rnacentral:lncRNA from 1 species
GGCAGAUAUUUAUUAAUGGCGUUCAAUGUCUUCCUCCUUUGGUUUCUGAAGGUUAUUUUCCAUAUUUAACAAUAUUCUCUCCAUCCCUUCCGCAGAGGUGCAGUGUCCUCCCCCUCCAAGCAUCGCCAACGGGAAGCACAGCAGCCAGCCCUUGGACACGUUCCUGCCUGGUGCAGCUGUUCAGUACACCUGUAAGGAUGGCUAUAUGCUCACUGGGAACGCAUCCAUCACCUGCACUGCUGCAGGAACCUGGAGCUGGCCCCAGCCACGCUGUGAAGUGGUGCAGUGUCCUUCCCCUCCAAAUAUCACACACGGUCAGUACAGCAGUGAGGAUGUGAGAGUGUUUAUCCCCGGAACCUCUGUGAGGUACAAAUGUGAACCAGGGUAUGUCCUCACGGGGAAAACAGCACUGACUUGUUUGACAUCUGGAGUGUGGAGCAUCCCUUACCCGCAGUGCAAAGCGGUCACCUGCAUGAGCCCUAG